GUGCCAUUCUCUCUCCUUGCAAGCCUUUUCCACACCUUAUGUGCCUGGAAGCAUGUAUGUGUCACACACUGUUCAAGGUCGCACAUUGCUCAAGGAGCCCAUGAGCAAUCAAGGGAGACAGAUGGAGAUGUGAAUUCACUAUGCUGCCCAGGCUGGUCUUGGACUCCUGACUCCAAGUAAUCCUCCCACCUUAGCUUGCCAAAGUGCUGGGCUUACAGAUUCAGGACUUUGUGAAGGUGCUGCGUUCCCCACAUUGGACAAGUGGAAGAAACAUGAUGCUGACAAUGGCCCUAAUCUUACAGGUGAAACCAAGAAAAGCAAGAAAGCCAGCAAAACCAGGGAACCCUAAAGAGGCAGUUAGAGGAGAGUCCAUGGAUCUGGCCAGCGGCCUGC